rnacentral:rRNA from 1 species
GAUGAACGCUGGCGGCGUGCCUAAUACAUGCAAGUCGAGCGAACAGACGAGGAGCUUGCUCCUCUGACGUUAGCGGCGGACGGGUGAGUAACACGUGGAUAACCUACCUAUAAGACUGGGAUAACUUCGGGAAACCGGAGCUAAUACCGGAUAAUAUAUUGAACCGCAUGGUUCAAUAGUGAAAGACGGUUUUGCGGUCACUUAUAGAUGGAUCCGCGCCGCAUUAGCUAGUUGGUAAGGUAACGGCUUACCAAGGCAACGAUGCGUAGCCGACCUGAGAGGGUGAUCGGCCACACUGGAACUGAGACACGGUACAGACUCCUACGGGAGGCAGCAGUAGGGAAUCUUCCGCAAAGGGCGAAAGCCUGACGGAGCAACGCCGCGUGAGUGAUGAAGGUCUUCGGAUCGUAAAACUCUGUUAUUAGGGAAGAACAAAUGUGUAAGUAACUAUGCACGUCUUGACGGUACCUAAUCAGAAAGCCACGGCUAACUACGUG